rnacentral:sRNA from 1 species
GCCAGGCAUGGUGGCGCACUCCUGUAAUCCCAGCGGCUUGGGAGGCUGAGGCAGGAGAAUCACAAAUUCAAAGCCAGCCUCAG